CGCGUAGGCGGCUCGGUAAGUCUGGAGUGAAAUUCCUGCUUUCAAGGUGGGAACUGCUUUGGAUACUGUCGGGCUUGAGUGCAGGAGAGGUAAGUGGAAUUCACGGUGUAGCGGUGAAAUGCGUAGAGAUCGGGAGGAACACCAGUGGCGAAGGCGACUUACUGGACUGUAACUGACGCUGAGGCGCGAAAGUGUGGGGAGCAAACA
rnacentral:rRNA from 1 species